UAUCACUGCCAUAUCACCCUGCAGCCCAAGACCAGUUACUCACUGAAGCUAAGCAGGGCUGAGCCUGGUCAGUACCUGGAUGGGAGACCACAUGGAAAAACUAGGUUGCUGUUGGAA
rfam:Danio rerio chromosome 14 genomic contig CTG1748, GRCz11 reference primary assembly.